AGUUUGGUAUAGUGGUCUCAGUGUUAGAUUAGAACUCUGGAGAUCAGGGUUUGAAUCCCUGCUCAGCUA